rnacentral:rRNA from 1 species
UAAGACGAAGGGGGCUAGCGUUGUUCGGAAUUACUGGGCGUAAAGCGAGUGUAGGUGGUUGUCCAAGUUGGAUGUGAAAGCCUUGAGCUCAACUCAAGAAAUGCAUUCAGGACUGGGCGGCUAGAGGACCGGAGAGGAUAGUGGAAUUCCCAGUGUAGUGGUGAAAUACGUAGAGAUUGGGAAGAACACCAGUGGCGAAGGCGGCUAUCUGGACGGUUUCUGACACUAAGACUCGAAAGCGUGGGGAGCAAACAGGAUUAGAUACCCUGGUAGUCCACGCCGUAAACGAUGGGUGCUAGACGUUGGCGAGCUUGCUCGUCAGUGUCGCAGCUAACGCGUUAAGCACCCCGCCUGGGGAGUACGGCCGCAAGGUUG